GACGAACGCUGGCGGCGCGCUUAACACAUGCCAGUCGAACGGAAAGGCCUGCUUUCCCUUGUGGAUUGCGGGUACUCGAGUGGCGAACGGGUGAGUAACACGUGAGUGAUCUGCCCCCAACUUGGGUAUAAGCCUGGGAAACUGGGUCUAAUUCCCGAUAGGACUGCAGGGUGGUGCCUGUGGUGGAAAACGAUUUUCUAGUGGUUGGGGAUGAGCCCGCGGCCUAUCAGCUUGUUGGUGGGGUAAUGGCCUACCAAGGCGGCGACGGGUAGCCGGCCUGGGAGGGUGGACGGCCACAUUGGGACUGAGAUACGGCCCAGACUCCUACGGGAGGCAGCAGUGGGGAAUAUUGCACAAUGGGCGGAAGCCUGAUGCAGCGACGCCGCGUGGGGGAUGACGGCCUUCGGGUUGUAAACUCCUUUCGACCGCGAGGAAGCCACCUGGUUGGAAGGGUGGUGACGGUAGUGGUAGAAGAAGCACCGGCUAACUACGUG
rnacentral:rRNA from 1 species